rnacentral:rRNA from 1 species
AUACGGAGGGUGCGAGUGUUAUUCGGAAUCACUGGGCGUAAAGAGCACGUAGGCGGAUCGGUAAGUCAGAUGUGAAAUCCUGGAGCUCAACUCCAGAACUGCAUUUGAUACUGCUGGUCUUGAGUGAGGUAGAGGGGGGUAGAAUUCCCGGUGUAGAGGUGAAAUUCGUAGAUAUCGGGAGGAAUACCAGAGGCGAAGGCGACCCCCUGGGCCUCUACUGACGCUGAGGUGCGAAAGCGUGGGGAGC